UACGAAGGGGGCUAGCGUUGUUCGGAGUUACUGGGCGUAAAGGGCGCGUAGGCGGCCCUCCAAGUCGGGCGUGAAAGCCCACGGCUCAACCGUGGAAUUGCGCUCGAGACUGAAGGGCUCGAGGACGGGAGAGGAUGGUGGAAUUCCCAGUGUAGAGGUGAAAUUCGUAGAUAUCGGGAGGAACACCGGCGGCGAAGGCGGCGAUCUGGGUCGAUACUGACGCUGAGGUGCGAAAGCGUGGGGAGCAAACAGG
rnacentral:rRNA from 1 species